AACGAACGCUGGCGGCAUGCCUAAUACAUGCAAGUCGAACGAGAUCUUCGGAUCUAGUGGCGCACGGGUGCGUAACGCGUGGGAAUCUGCCCUUGGGUUCGGAAUAACUUCUGGAAACGGAAGCUAAUACCGGAUGAUGACGUAAGUCCAAAGAUUUAUCGCCCAAGGAUGAGCCCGCGUAGGAUUAGCUAGUUGGUGGGGUAAAGGCCCACCAAGGCGACGAUCCGUAGCUGGUCUGAGAGGAUGAUCCGCCACACUGGGACUGAGACACGGCCCAGACUCCUACGCGAGGAAGCAGUAGGGAAUAUUGCACGAUCGGCGAAAGCCUGAUCCAGCCAUGCCGCGUGAGUGAUGAAAGCCUUAGGGUUGUAAAGCUCUUUUACCCGGGAUGAUAAUGACGGUACCGGGAGAAUAAGCUCCGGCUAACUCCGUG
rnacentral:rRNA from 1 species